AGUGAACGCUGGCGGUAGGCCUAACACAUGCAAGUCGAACGGCAGCACAGUAAGAGCUUGCUCUUACGGGUGGCGAGUGGCGGACGGGUGAGGAAUACAUCGGAAUCUACUUUUUCGUGGGGGAUAACGUAGGGAAACUUACGCUAAUACCACAUACUACCUACGGGUGAAAUCAGGAGAUCUUCGGACCUUGCGCGAAUCAUUGAGUCGAUGUCGGAUUAGCUAGUUGGCGGGGUAAAGGCCCACCAAGUCGACGAUCCGUAGCUGGUCUGAGAGGAUGAUCAGCCACACUGGAACGGAGACACGGUCCAGACUCCUACGGGAGGCAGCAGUGGGGAAUAUUGUACAAUGGGCGCAAGCCUGAUCCAGCCAUACCGCGUGGGUGAAGAAGGCCUUCGGGUUGUAAAGCCCUUUUGUUGGGAAAGAAAAGCAGCAGGUUAAUACCCCGCUGUUCUGACGGUACCCAAAGAAUAAGCACCGGCUAACUUCGUG
rnacentral:rRNA from 1 species